CUUAAAUGAUUUGAGGCUUUGCCAACUGUCAGAACAUUAAAGUCAAAAGACGAAAAAGUUCUAGAAUAAACUAUAUGUUACACUUUUGGUAAUACAGGUCACGUAACAGUAAGAUAAAUCUAGCUUAUAGGAAAUUUUUGAGAUUGAAUCACGGAGGAAUAGUAGGGAGACAGAUCUCUGCGUUUGAAAAUGUCCGAGAAACAUGCACGAUAAGUGCAUUGUACUCAGCUGGCCAAAGUAGUUUAGCAUGCGCAUUGGACCUCAAUUUUGACAGAUGAAAAGUGUGGUUAUGCGAUAUACAUAUAUGUCACAAAAAAAUCUUAGUUUUCGAUGUUUAUUUCAGAUAUUUACCAUUGCGAUAGUGUAUCUCCAAAAUCAUGUAUCAAAUAGAGAAAAUUAAAAAAAUGAAAGAAAAGAAAAUGAGAGUAAGAAAAUUGAAAGAGAAAAAAAAAUUUUUUGGAUUGCAAAAAAUUGAAGAUGACUGUAGAAUUAGAAGAAGAGUUGCUGUUUUUCCAAAUUUAACUGUAAAUAUUUAUUUCGACAAUGAAAUAAUGCCGUUUUCAGAAUUUAUAACUAUUAAUAGUGUUGAUCAAUUUAUAGCACUUUUAAACAAAGUGCAUGAAUUUCCUCUUAAUAAUUAAAUUAAUUAAGUCUCAUGUAUGUUAUUUUUUCUAAGUGUACAAACUGCUUAUAGUUAAUACGUGUCCUAUAUUUUGUCUAUUAUAGUUGAAUAAAUUCUCUAUGUAGAAAGUGCAAAGAAAAUGGAAGAAGUAGAGGUAACUUAAACUGAUGUAAAGAAUUGUUGAAAAAUGGAUUAAAUAUUUUUUUAAUGUAAA